GACGAACCGUGCGAACGUUGUUCGGAUUCACUGGGCUUAAAGGGCGCGUAGGCGGACGAUCAAGUCCGGGGUGAAAUCCUCCAGCUCAACUGGAGAAUAGCCCCGGAUACUGGUUGUCUCGAGGGAGGUAGGGGCAUGUGGAACUUCCGGUGGAGCGGUGAAAUGUGUUGAUAUCGGAAGGAACGCCGGUGGCGAAAGCGACGUGCUGGACCUCUUCUGACGCUGAGGCGCGAAAGCUAGGGUAGCGAACGGG
rnacentral:rRNA from 1 species